UGUACGAUAUAAAUGUGAGACACAGCCGUCAGCCGUCUGGCCAGAGAUGCUAUGAGCUCCAACAUGAGGGCACUGGGACUGAUUAUUGUAACUCUGCUGCUGCUGACAGCGGGUGAAGCUGAUGACAUAGAUGUGCAGGGCUGGACUUGUGGAUAUCGAGGGCUGUGCAGGAAGCACUGCUACGCGCAGGAGUACAUGAUUGGCUACCAUGGUUGCCCCC